rnacentral:rRNA from 1 species
GACGAACGCUGGCGGCGUGCUUAACACAUGCAAGUCGAACGGAAAGGCCCUGCUUUUGUGGGGUGCUCGAGUGGCGAACGGGUGAGUAACACGUGAGUAACCUGACCUUCACUUUGGGAUAACUUCAGGAAACUGGGGCUAAUCUCGGAUAGCAGCUCCUGCUGCAUGGUGGGGGUUGGAACGUUUCGGCGGUUGGGGAUGGACUCGCGGCUUACCAGCUUGUUGGUGGGGUAGUGGCUUACCAAGGCUUUGACGGGUAGCCGGCCUGAGAGGGUGACCGGCGACAUUGGGACUGAGAGACGGCCCAGACUCCUACGGGAGGCAGCAGUGGGGAAUAUUGCACAAUGAGCGGAAGCCUGAUGCAGCAACGCCGCGUGCGGGAUGACGGCCUUCGGGGUGUAAACCGCUUUCGCCUGUGACGAAGCGUGAGUGACGGUAAUGGGUAAAGAAGCACCGGCUAACUACGUG